GGGGCUGACUUGGAUUUCGACAGAUUUCUUGUCGCACAGAUAGCAUGCCAAGCGCUACUUGUAAAACAGCAACAAAAAUAACUGUAAACAACACAGAUUACGCUCCAGCUUACGCUAAAGCUGCGUGAGUUAAUCUCCUUUUGGAGCUGGACUGAUUAGAAUUUCUAGCGUUUUAAUCACUCCAUAACCUUAAGCUAGACGCUUUUAAAAGGUGGUUCGCCUUUUAAACUAAGAACAAGAACUCUUGAAACUAUCUCAAGGUUUUAGAAAAUUGGACCAGAGCUAGUUUUAAGGCUAAAAAACUAACCAAUUUUCUAAGCAUUGUAGAAGUUUGUGUUUAGGGCAAGAUUUUUGGACUGGGGUUCGAUUCCCCACAGCUCCACCA
rnacentral:tmRNA from 1 species